rnacentral:rRNA from 1 species
CCUACGGGCGGCUGCAGUAGGGAAUUUUCGGCAAUGGGGGGAACCCUGACCGAGCAACGCCGCGUGAAGGAAGAAGGAAUUCGUUCUGUAAACUUCUGUUAUAAAGGAAGAAAGACGGAGGGAGGAAAUGACAUCCGAGUGACGGUACAUUAUGAGAAAGCCACGGCUAACUACGUGCCAGCAGCGGCGGUAAUACGUAGGUGGCAAGAGUCAUCCGAAAUUAUUGGGCGUAAAGAGGGAGCAGGCGGCAGCAAAGGUCGGUGGAGAAAGACUGAAGCUUAACUUCAGUAGGCCAUAGAAACCGGGCAGCUAGAGUGCAGGAGAGGAUCGUGGAAUUCCAUGUGUAGCGGUGAAAUGC